rnacentral:rRNA from 1 species
UACGAAGGGGGCUAGCGUUGUUCGGAAUUACUGGGCGUAAAGCGCACGUAGGCGGAUUUGUAAGUCAGGGGUGAAAGCCCGGGGCUCAACCCCGGGAGGCGGAUGGAUACUGUCAAGCUCGAGUCCGGAAGAGGCGAGUGGAAUUCCAGGUGUAGCGGUGAAAUGCGCAGAUAUCUGGAGGAACACCAAUGGCGAAGGCAGCUCGCUGGGACGGUACUGACGCUGAGACGCGAAAGCGUGGGGAGCAAACAGG